rnacentral:lncRNA from 1 species
CUCCUCCCCGCCGCCCCGCCGCGGGCUCCCGGGCCCCGCGGGGGCCGAUCCCCCCCGGCCUGCAGCCCAGCCUGCGGGGGGCGCAGCGCCUAGUCCCGCCCGCGUCGCCCGCCAGCCCCGGGACAGCCCGCCUGGCGCGCGGGGCUCUGCGCGCUGCGACCCUCCCCGGCAGUCCCGCCCGCCUCUCCUCGCCCUCUCUCUGCCUGGCCUCCAACUUUGCCUCUCGCUAUCCUCUCCGCCGGCGCCCCCUUUCCCGGCGGUCCCCGGGAUGGUCCCCGGCACCCCGAGGACGCCGAGGUUACGGGAAGUUCGGGGACUGGCGGGAGAAGGGGUUUGGGGGUGGUCCGCGGCGAGGGGCGCGGGGUGCAUCUUCUCUUCCUUUUAUGCUGAGUGGGUCAGCUCAUCACAGGCCUGCGGCCCCUGCAUGGGUGACAGAGGAGGCAAAGAUGACACAGAGAAACUAUCCCUUCAGGGACAGAGUGGGGACACCCACGAGCUUGGCUCUGCCUUACAAAGAAAUGAGAAGGAACCCCGUUCCUGCUUUUCACCUUAGGGCUGCCACACUUGUGUAUCCCUUCUUCCUUGAAUUUAACCAGGAGUGAGCAGUGGACAGCUUCUUCCCUAUGAGAAGGAGGUGAAGCAGGACCUGAAAUCCCGUGCUCAGCUCCCACAUGCCCCGUGUCCAGGACAAGUCCUUUGCUGAAUCAGCGGCAGACACCACCCGGAGCCCUGCGGGAGCCUUUCCCUGUUCUUCCAGCAUGGAUCUGAAACUCCCUUCCCACUUUCUGCAGCCUCCCAGAGAUAGUUCAGGCUCCAGCCUCAUGUGAUAGCAUGAAGAGAAACUGGUUCCAACAGCUGUGUGCUCUGCUGCCCUCAUCCCAAACAACAGUUUAAAUGCACAAUUACGCUUUUCUCUAAGGCCCAAAAUAGGAUAGGAAAGAUCGUUUUGCUAUCCCUGAAUGCCUGUCACCCUUGUUUCGUAAGGUAAGAUUGGGAAGGGCUUGGCCAUUGCCCUUGCAGCUGAGAAACCAACUUUAGGAAUAAAGACACUCUCUCCAUGUCUGA